rnacentral:lncRNA from 1 species
GCCAUUCUCCUGCCUCAGCCUCCUGAGUAGCUGGGACUACAGGAAUCUGCCACCACACUCGGCUAAUUUUUUGUAUUUUUAGUAGCGACGGGGUUUCACCGUGUUAGCCAGGAUGGUCUCAAUCUCCUGACCUUGUGAUCCACCCGCCUCGGCCUCCCAAAGUGCUGGGAUUACAGGCGUGAGCCACUGCGCCCUGCUGAGAGUUUUUUAUUGAUCAUUCAGUGAUUCUGAAGGGAAGACAGUUCUACUCUCACUGCCAGUGACAGCACAGCCCAGGAGAGCAAGGGCAGGCUCCUCUCCAGGUGUGGCUGCUCUCCAUGGCCUGGGUCAUAGUCUGGAGAUGACUGAAGAGUUAGUCUUGGGGCUGUUGCUUGUGAGAACUGGAGAGGUGUGUGUCAUUAUCUGAAUCGGCCAGGCCCACGCCAGGGUGAACUGGGCUUACAGGAAAUGCAGUCACAGAACAUUCGAGGAUCCUGAAUGCAAACACUCUUGGAUGAUCCAGAAGUAGUUCAAUCCACAGGGCUGGAGUGUAGUGGCGUGAUCUCGACUCCCUGAAACCAACUACUCUGUUUUUUGAAUUCUUGCUUCUUCACGUCAGUGCAGUGCGAGAUGCAUGGUGAAAGGCACACCUGUGAAUCCCAAGAAGCUGGAUGUUAUCUGUACCCUUUUCCCACUGGCAUCUGGAAGAACCUAAGUUAAGGAAAGAUGUUUGCUGCACUCUCUUGUUUUUUUAUGUUUAUGAUGCUAACCCAUGCUAGUCACUAUUGCUUUGAGCUAUGGUCUGAGUGUCUACGUCCCCUUCAAAAUUCUUAUGUUGAAAUCCUAACCCCCAAGGUGAUCGUAUUAGGAGGUGGGGCCUUUGGAAGGUGAGGAGGACUUGAGGGUGGAGUGCUCAUGAAUGGAAUAAGUGCCCUCCUAAAACAUUGGUCGGGGGACAUCCUCACCCUUUCCACCAUAUAAGGACACAGUGAGAAGGAGCCAUCUAUGAGCCAGAAAUUCAGCCCUCACCACACAGAACCUGCCAGUGUCUUCAUCGUGGACUCCUUAGCCUCUGGAACUGGGAUAAAUAAAUUUCUGCUGCCUAUCAGCU